GACGAACGCUGGCGGCGUGCUUAACACAUGCAAGUCGAACGAUGACGCCCGAGCUUGCUCGGUCUGAUUAGUGGCGAACGGGUGGGUAACACGUGAGCAACCUGCCCUUCACUCUGGGAUAACCUCGGGAAAUCGGGGCUAAUACCGGAUAUGAGCUCCUGUCGCAUGGCGGGUGUUGGAAAGUUUUUCGGUGAAGGAUGGGCUCGCGGCCUAUCAGUUUGUUGGUGAGGUAGUGGCUCACCAAGGCGAUGACGGGUAGCCGGCCUGAGAGGGCGACCGGCCACACUGGGACUGAGACACGGCCCAGACUCCUACGGGAGGCAGCAGUGGGGAAUAUUGCACAAUGGGCGAAAGCCUGAUGCAGCGACGCCGCGUGAGGGAUGACGGCCUUCGGGUUGUAAACCUCUUUCAGCAGGGAAGAAGCGAAAGUGACGGUACCUGCAGAAGAAGCGCCGGCUAACUACGUG
rnacentral:rRNA from 1 species